GACGAACGCUGGCGGCGUGCUUAACACAUGCAAGUCGAACGGAAAGGCCCUGCUUUUGUGGGGUGCUCGAGUGGCGAAGGGGUGAGUAACACGUGAGUAACCUGCCCUUGACUUUGGGAUAACUUCAGGAAACUGGGGCUAAUACCGGAUAGGAGCUCCUGCUGCAUGGAGGGGGUUGGAACGUUUCGGCGGUUGGGGAUGGAUUCGCGGCUUAUCAGCUUGUUGGUGGGGUAGUGGUUUACCAAGGCAUUGACGGGUAGCCGGCCUGAGAGGGUGACCGGCGACAUUGGGACUGAGAUACGGCCCAGACUCCUACGGGAGGCAGCAGUGGGGAAUAUUGCACAAUGGGCGGAAGCCUGAUGCAGCAACGCCGCGUGCGGGAUGACGGCCUUCGGGUUGCAAACCGCUUUCGCCUGUGACGAAGCGUGAGUGACGGUAAUGGGUAAAGAAGCACCGGCUAACUACGUG
rnacentral:rRNA from 1 species